rnacentral:misc_RNA from 1 species
UGCAGUGGACCUACUGCAGUUGCCCAGAUCAAGAGAGGGCAAUGUAGCAUGUUUGGUUGCAAUUGACCAUUAUUCAAAAUGGCUGAGUGUGGUUCCGUUGCGCGAUAAGACAGCAUCAUCAGUGGUUAAGGCAUUUGCUCAUCGCAUACUGCCAACAAUGAUUCGCACUCCUGAUCGCUUGUUGUCGGAUAAUGGUCCUGAAUUUCGUAGUUCACUCUUUACCGAUCUACUUUGCACGUAUGGUAUUAAACACAUUACAACCACACCGUAUCAACCAAGUAGUAAUGGAUGUGUGGAAAGAGUAAACCGUUCAGUGACAGAGAUCCUUCGAAAUUUGGCAACGUCAUCAAGUUGGGACAAGGAACUAGCCCGUGCCGUCAUUAUUUAUAACCAUACCAGGCACUCAGAAUUGCAGAUGUCACCAGCUGAGUAUCUGCUUACUAAGAAGCACGUGGUGAUUGACACACCAGUGGUUACAACAGAGGACCUAAUGCUCUGGUCACCAGGAAAUCCUAGAUUCAAGCCAUUUGCAGUUGGUGAUCUAGUGAGGAAAAAGAUAAAUUUUGGAAAUCGAUGUGUGAAAAACAAGUUUCAGCCUCGUUUUGAAGGACCCUAUGAAGUUGUUCAAGUACAUGACAACAAAGUGACUUACAAAAUAAGACCUUUGCAUGGUGGCAAUGUGGUCCCUGCUCAUCAUAAUCAGCUUGCGACCUGGAAGACUUCACCUGCAUAUCUGAACUUUGACACCUCCAAGGAUCUUGGUGGUGAUGUUACCUGCAGUCGAUCAGAGUUGUCUGAAGCUUCGCUGGUAUCUUCAGAGACUUCUCUAACUUCCCUUCUGUCUUCAUCAUCAGACUCCACUGGUGAAUUCUCGGGAUUUGUGCAGCCAAAUCAUGCCGCUAAAUUCCCUGAUACCUCUCCAGUAAAUGAGCUGAAUGCAGAGAGAGACUCAACAUCAUCAUGCAUUAGAACUGAAGGCAGAAGACAUAAGGUGCCAACUUUUGAUAUGGGGCAACCUUUCCCUAAGUCUUGUACUGCAGGUGCAGGAGAGCCUGUUGUUGAUUUGCAGUCCAAGGAUGGUAAUGAGAUGAAUGGAGAAUCUUCCAAGUUGCAUUCUGGUGUAGUGUUACCAGUUGAUGGUGAGACAUGGGAUAUGUCUUCAAUUAGUAGUGUUAAGAGUUUACCAGAAGCUAAAUUAAUGAAGCGAGAAAAAUUGUAUCUACAAGUGGCCAAGUUUGUAAAGAACUACAUCAUUAAACUUCUGGAUGAAGCAUGUGAUAGAGUGGUGGUCAGCCCGAGAGAACAAUCAAUGGUCCAGGAAGAUGGAUCAUUUUCAGGAUUUGCUGCUGCCAUCCUCACAGCUGAUGAAGAUAAGAUAGCUACUCCAGUUGUAUCAACUGAUGAAGAGGCUCUGUUGAGUAGAACUGGUUGUGAACGUCUGCAAAAUUCAGUUUGUGAUGCUGAGUCAGGCAGUACUAAUUGUGAUAAGUUGGCUGUGAUCCCUGAUUUUAGACCUGUAACCAGAUCUCGAGGUUUAGUUGCUGAUCUACCUAAUGUGAUGGAUGUUCCUGUUGAAUAUGUUAAGUCUUUGAACAAGUAAAUUUUGUAAUUGUAGUAUUAAGCAAAGUAGGCUGUAAUUUAGGUAGAUUGGUUGGCUAAGAGAUGUGAAGGAGAGCACUGGAGGGGGGGUGUGUUAUGGGCUGUCACUCUUACUGCUGGAGAGUGGUGGUUACCUUGCUCCCACUUGGGGAAGUAACGCUCCCCCAGUUCCGAGUUAAUGUAGAGUUGUUUUUAGAAUCUUGAAAUUCAUGGCAAACAUCAAUAUUUGUGUUAUCAGUGCUCUCCAUCUCAUUCUCUUUGCCCUUUUUGCAGACCAUUAUUUUAUGUGUCAGUGGUGAUUGAUUAAAGUUCCAAAUCUCCUAUCCGCCAUUAUACCGUACUCACACUACUGCCUGAAGUUGAAGCAUCUUCAAGUACUUCACAUAAGCGACCCAUGCCCCGUUUGUCCGGUUGUCUGGUAGUCUGUUUGUCCAGUUGCCUAGUUGAACAGUUGCCCAGUUGUCAGGUUUCCCCGUUAUACGGUUAUCUGGUUACCCAGUUCCCCAGUUAAUGGUUAAACAGUCAUUCAGUAGUUGGUUAGGUUUUUGAUUUAGCACUCUCUUAGGUUUAAAUUUUAAGUCCCUUAAUAAUGAAGUU